UUCCUACUCGAACCGGGACUAAUGUGAAUUUUGCAUGACCCAGUAAAGAUCAAUUCUUCAAUAGUGCGAUAUGAUUAGUCAUUUGCAGGAAAGUACUACCACUUUAGAUGCAUACACGUUACUUCAUCUCACCAAGACAUUUCCACUGUUUAAAAUGUGUAAAAAAGUUUUAAUGACUAUCGAGUGUUAAAAUUUUUUCACAAAGCUAGGAUUAAUUAUUUCUAGCUUCGAAGUUACCCUAGGUCCAAAAGUUGAGAAGUAUUGGAACCGUGUAUCUAUUUUGAUCCAAGGGUCUAGCUAGAUUUAUUUCUAUUACCACCUCAGUAGACGGCAGAAGAAACAUAAAAGGAUAUAAUUGUCAAAAAAAAAGAAAAAUAGGUGCGGUGGGAUGAAAUCAUCAUUUAGCACUGACUAACCCUAGCCGAUCGAGUGAAACAGUCUUCCCCUCAGUCGGCUGCCACCGUUGGACGAACUGACGGCCGCCGCCGAUGAACAGAGACAUCCCCAGUAGUUUCACACCCAUGGCAACCAAAUAUAUUUUUGUCUCGCACGCGUAUUUGCAUCCCAACAGUGUGUGUCUAUAUAUAUAUAUAUACACACACACACAUUGGUAUUGUCAAGAAGAAUAUGAGUCAGGCAAACAACUGCUUAUGCAUCGCGGGAUGGAUCAACAAUAAUAUUACAGGAGACUCCUGCAUGCUUGAUGAUUGACACUGUCAGCAAUGGCCGGAAUGGAACAAGCGGCGCUCGUGUUGGCAAUGAUGUAAUCAACAACGAGAGUGGCCGGCGGAAGGACCGAAGGAGCCGUCGGCGAGAGGAUUUCACGAGCGAGAUAUUUUACAUCUCGAGCAUUACAUAUUGGAUGAAUCACCCCCCCGAAUCAACCCGAAGCGGUUGGAGGUAGAGGAAGGCAGCGACGACCACCAUGAGACAGCGGAUGAAGACAGCGUGCAUUAGGCGGCGGCAGCAGUGGCAGUAACAUACGCGGUGGAAGGCAGCGUCCCCGCCACAUCCUCUCCCUCGGCCGUGUCUCACCCAUCGAUCUUGACGAGCGGGAAGGCCAAGCAACGACGCGAGUCCUCGAGGGUCAACCUCUCUGCCUCGGGCCUCUGCAUCCGGAUACUGCCGUCGAUACGGUGCCGCUUGGACCUACCGUCGCGGCGCCGCCAGUUGGGAUCUGCGGCGGUGGAGCCGUAGCUCUCAUGAAGGCGGCGACGAGCCUGCCGCCGUCUCCUAGCAUGCCGCCCACCCCUUUCCUGCAGUGCAGCGCGGCGGCGGUGGUCCAGGCAGAGAAGGCAGCGGCGGUGGUCCAAAUGGAGGUCACGGCGGGGAAGGGCGGGUGGCGGGCGCGGCAGGGAGGGCCGUCAUGGGAGAGCAAGCUCUCUGCCGCGUGCGGCACCAGCCCCGCCUCCGCUGCCUGCCGCCCACCGCCCGGGCGAUCCCCGCCUCAGCCGCUUGUCUCCCGUGUGAGCUCUGCCUCAGUCACCAGCCGCUCGUGUGUUCUCCGCCUCUGCCGCCAGCAACCCGGUCCACCUCCUCCGCCGCGUGGGCGAUCUCCAUCUCUACCGUCGGACCUCCUAGAGGAGCUCCGCCUCCGCCGCCAGUCGCCCGGGCAAGCUCCUCGUUAGCCUCUCAACGCCGGCCACCCAGUCCGCCUCCUCCUCCACAGCCAGCCGCCCGGGUGUGUGUGUGUGUGUGUGUGUGUGUGUGUGUGUGUGUGAGAGGAGUGUGUGUAUGUGUGUGUGAGAGAGAGAGUGAUGGGGAAGUAUUGGGUUGAGGGAGGGGUAUGACAGGUGGGCGCCGGGGAAGCAUUUUUUUUACUGAUUGGAUUUCCACGUUGGCCCGACAUGUGCACGCUCAACUUAAAACUGCUCAAAAUACUAUUGAGGGGGGUAAUUUGUUCGGUAUAAAUAAUUGAGGGUGUCAAAUGUUUGGUUUUGUAGUUAAGGGGGGUAAAUCGAAUGACCGUGAUAGUUAAGGGGGGUAAAUGAAACAACCAUAAAAUAAAAUAUAAUGACUUUUGGAUUGAUGGAGCAUUAGAAAUUCUUCAAAUGCUCCUGAUGUUAAAAAGUAUAGAAAGAGUUGUACCGCAAGGAUUAUGAAAGGUGAAUAGGUAAGUGAGUAUAAGAAGUACAUGCAAAUAUAAGUUUCAGUGGGAAAGUGUCUUUCAAUUCUCCUUAAAAGAGAUGCAGCUUAAGGUAGUCCUCCCUCAUCCCCUUGCUAAAUACUCCUUCCAUCCCAAAUGUAGUUACCUUUAACAUUCCAUGUUUUCCUAAAAAUAUAGCAACCUUUUCUUCCUCUCAACAAAUCACAACCAUCUUCAAUUUGAUUUAUCUGCCUACUUUUUCAUCUUAACCAAUCAAAAAUCAUCCAUAAUUUUAGUUUACAUUUCUCCUUGAUACCUGUGUCAAAUUUCAAAAAGUCAUAGUAUUUUGCAACAGAGUGAGUAAAUAUCUAACAUAAGUGAUAUCAUUUCAUAGGAGAAAAAAGAGGCAGGGGAACAUCACGUGGGGCCAAUCACUUCUUUUUAUGGAUAUUAUAUACGAGAAAAGUAUGCAUCGUAUUGAAUUCCAAAUGUCCAGAUUAUAUUUUUUAAAAGUAUGUAAAAUAAAACCUUUCUUUUAGAAAAAAAAAUGAAAGAUGUUAAGUUAACAAGACAUUAUAACCAUUUUUUCCUAUAAACGGAAUAAUUAUCACUACUACAGAGAAGGAGAUCGGUGCCGGUUAGGAACUGGUCAUAGGUGUUGGAUUUCUGAACCAGCAACUAGCAGGCGGCGCCUUUGAGGAGGACUCAAUGGUGAUGUUUAGGAACCUGCACCUUUAAGGUUCUAGGAAUGAAAAAAACAAAAAGCUGGCUCGAUGCAUUGGCUUGAAUCGAAAAUUACAAACCGAUCUGCCAUUUAAUUAAGGAGGAUGCAUAUAUAUAUGCCAUUACAAAAUAUUGAUGGGACUGGUGCACUGUAUGUUGGCCAUGUGCGGUGUUGCUGUAUUUAUAAUCUUUGUAGAUUAUAUUUCCGAUCGGCUCGUUUCCGUGUCCGGAUAAUGUGCUCAAUGGAUCUACAGAGUUGGAGUGGGUAGAGAACGAUCUCUUGUCCCAAUUUGGCAGGUGCAUAGUCUUGGAUUUUUGUCAUUGCGAACUUUAGGUAGCUGGAUGCGCGAUGUGCAGACAUCAGACUCUCCAUUAUCUAAAAUAUUAUACUGCAAUAGAAAAGAAUCUCCCUGGUAGAGCUAGAAUUCAUUGGAUGCAAAGCUAGACAAUUAUUCAUACCCAUGCAUUUCUUCUGUAUACGAUUGAAUCGGGUUAUGACAAGCUGGUGUGAUGUAUGUCCAUGGAUAUGCAGGCAAAUGAAUUAUUUAAUUGGAUUCAUAAA